UGAGACGUGAGCAAUGUUGCUGCAAAGAGCUGAUAAAGGUUAUUACCUGCCCCAGUGACCAUGGUAUGACUUGAGAGCUAGAAGUUCAAGUCCUGUCCUUUGAGAACUUCAGCAAGAAACUGACUUGUCAGAGCUUUCCACAGGGGCAAGACUCAUCUCUCAAGGCCUACUUCCAUAUGUACAGUCAGAGUAUGCAGUCACAACCAGCUGUGAAAUCCCAUUUGAGUGGAGGUUUGCAAGUGAAAUUCACAUUUCCUAUCUCUUUUGAGUGAGGCUUUGAAGCAGAAUGUAGCUCCCAAAGAAAGAUAUUUUCCAUUUUAUCAUGGCUGAAAAACCAAAUGUAAAUGCUGGUGCUUUAUAGUGCUGAGACUGCUGCAGGAGAACAUUGGUGGGGAAGUUUGCCUGUGAAUUUUCAGAAAGGCUGAAGAUAUGCAGUGCUGGUAAACCUGAGCCAUCACCUGACUCCUCAUUUCAGAAAAGCGUUCCAAGUUUAUCAUCAUUCCCCAUGAAGAAACACAUCCGUGGUGCAAAGCUUCGGAGAGGCGUUUCAAGGCGAAACACCAUGAGCAUAGACCUAAGACGCAGCUUUUUGCUCCGCAGGCCGAGUCCUCUGGAACUCCGGCUUGCCUGCUCCCAGGAGAGGGCAGUGGAGCCGCACACGCUUCGUGCCGCGGCCGGCGGGCCGCUCCGUUCCUGCGGGGCUGCACGAGGCAUGCAUCCUAAGACAACAAGGAGCCUUGGCUGAAAACAGCAGAGUGUGGUUUUAAGCUACGCUCCUGUCUCGCCUGUGUUCUGCAGUGACUGGAGAAGCAUUGAAACUGGAACAUCACCAAAGGCACUGAAACAAAAACUGAGCAAUUGAGACAGCCUUUCUCAGCUGGGCGCAAGGUGCUGCAGGAUUGGAGCGGAGCCUGUGAGGCAGAUGACAGCACUUGAGACCACCACGGAGGUAAGUCUGCGCUCCGUAGAGACACCUGAGCAUGUGCUGUAAUGGACUCAAGCCUGUAAAUAUUGUGAUCUGCAGUUAAAAAUGCAAGGUGGAAAUUUGUUUAGCCUUUUAGUGUAUGCUUUGGCUUGUUGCUUUGGAGGAAGAGUGUGCUUUUGUAGCAUCUCGUACGUGGCUGUGUCUUACUGCUGCUUGGGCUGUUGAUGUUUUUUAUUCCUGCAUGCCUCUGGAAAGGGGCCUUGCAUGCUACAGAUCAUACGGGAGAGCUGUUUUCCUAAAAGCGGGAAUAAACAGUCAGGAGAUGAAAUAUUCCUAAGUAAUGAGAUUAGAGACAAGAACGUAACAUGGGAUGCGGCUUUCAACAAUAAUUACAUCUGACACCCUCAUCAGCAAGAAGAUGUAGGGGCUGCGAGCUCUGAGCUUGGGAACAGCAUAUGAAAGACUGGCUUCUCUUGGGAAGGGAGGCACAGGGGAGGUUAUUUUUAGCACUCGGAAGAAAAAAGCAGGAAAAAAAAAAGCAAGAAUUUAAGCACUCUUCGGUUUGAUCCCCUUCUUAUGGAAGAGGUCGUACAGAAAGAGGUGGUGUGCAAAGAAAAUAAGAAACGGGAGCAGAAACAGCGCUGGCGACGGGGCAGCGGCUGCGCUGAACGCCAUGGGCUGAUUCAGGACAGAGAGGAGAGGGAGCGAGGUCCGAGCGGGAGGGGAGCUGCGCACAGGAGAGCCGGGGAGCUGCGGGCAGGGCGGGCAGAAGCUCCUGUCCGCACCCGACAGCCGCAGGGCCGAGGGGCCGGCAGCGGCGGGGCAGGUGCGGUGCGCUCCGCCGUCGGGGCCGCGCUGCAGUUGGCUCCGG